UUUAUAUAUUGAGGGACCUUCCUCGAAAUAAUCAAAAGAAAAUACAAGGGUUGGUGGCCUCAGUGUACGAGUGUCAGAACUUGAUGUGACGUUGCAGCGAGUCAUAUCACUCGGUCCGUUUGUUAACUGAGGUCGGCCUUACUUGAGUCGACCAUAAUAAGGCCGCUUAAAGAUGUAUGUAGAUAAUACAUGGGCGUAGAGAAUUUGUUAACUGUGGCCGGCCUUACUUGAGCCGACCAUAAUAAAGCCGCUUUCUUUAGUGAGGACGUAUGUAGAUAAUAUAUGGACGUAGGGAACCAAAUUUGCCCAAUACAGAUAGUCCCUCCGUUUAUUGGGGAUACAGCUGAGAGGCGUCUCCAAUGGACGGACAUACAUGCCCGACGCCUAUGGAAAUUUGGCCGUUCCUGUUGAUACCCCUAUAAGAGACGUGCUCAUAUGUGAAGAGGUCAAGUCGUUGACAUAUUACCUCCUUUUUGGAGUUUCUUUUUAAGAUGAUGUCAUCGAUUACGUGCGUGAUCAUUACCUCGGCUCUCGAGGCGGUUCAGGUUAUGACGUGACGUUUGGGUUUCCUGCGCCGGUUUUCGAAUCAUGCUCUUUCGAUUUUUGUGUACCUUUUCUUAUAACUAGAGGGAGAGUUGAACAGGGUUCAUCUUUCGAACCUUUUCUCAGAGUAUUUUCCCAUUCUUUUCCCUAUCUUUUUCUGGUGCUUGUUGUUCUUUCUUCUUUGAAAUUCUCGUUCUUAGGAAUCGAACUUGCGACCAGAGACACCUUUUUCUUAUAACCUCUGCUAUGGCUAAACGUUGUAAUGACGAUACCAGGACCAAGGACAUUGCUUCCUCAAGGGCUUCGUCAUCCUCAUAUGAUGAGGCCGAGGAAGUUUUUGUUCCGCUAUCAACGGCUAACUUCCUUCCACUUGAUAUGAGCAAAAAGAGUGAUUUUAAGAAUAAGUGUAAACUCCACUCUGGGAGCACAGUGUGACGCCGUCGCACUCUCAGGAAAUCGUAUAAUAUUCAUGAUUAUGUUGACAUGGUCCCUGCGGGCUGGACCAUGCUAAUGUGCCCAAGACCGAGUACUGCGCUUUUUAUGAGUACGCCUUUCGAAUUGGGUACAGCCUCCCGCUUUAUCCUUUGGCGGAAGAUCUCUGUCGUUGGUUCGGGGCGUGCCCGACCCGACUUACUCCAUACGCGCUGAAGCUGUGCAGGGUACUUCCCAUCUAUGCGGCGAAGGCUGGGAAAGAGGUUACCAUUCAUCACCUUCUACAAAUGCUCAAUGCAGUUUUUAUGAGAGGCUCAAUGCUCCAAUUGAGAAGUCGAGGCAAGAAGAGCUUGUGUCGGAGGUGGACGACAAGGCCAACCGCAAAUUCUGGACGAGAUUUUUUUACGUGCGUACCGAGCAUCUUGUGUCCAACCCUGAAGGGUUUCCAGAGAUGUGGAACAAUGCAUGUAAGUAUUACUGCGCGUAGCCUUUAUUACGGCGACCUCACCUUGCUAGUUUUCACCGUCAAAAGUUUCCUUUUAUUUUUAUGCAGUGACAGCUCGCCCUCCUCGAAGGGUUGACGACAUUAGGUCGUGG
rnacentral:lncRNA from 1 species